rnacentral:rRNA from 1 species
ACGGGAGGCAGCAGUGGGGAAUAUUGGACAAUGGGGGCAACUCUGACCCAGCAACGCCGCGUGAAUGAAGAAGGCCUUCGGAUUGUAAAGUUCUUUAAUUAGGGACGAAGAAAAUGACGGUACCUAAAGAAUAAGCCACGGCUAACUACGUGCCAGCAGCCGCGGUAAUACGUAGGGGGCAAGCGUUGUCCGGAAUGACUGGGCGUAAAGGGAGCGUAGGCGGCGCUGCAAGUUAGGAGUGAAAUCCCGGGGCUUAACCCCGGAACUGCUUUUAAAACUGCUGUGCUUGAGUGAUGGAGAGGAAAGCGGAACUCCUAGUGUAGCGGUGGAAUGCGUAGAUAUUAGGAGGAACACCAGAGGCGAAGGCGGCUUUCUGGACAGUAACUGACGCUGAGGCUCGAAAGCGUGGGGAGCAAACAGGAUUAGAUACCCUGGUA